AGCGAACGCUGGCGGCAGGCCUAACACAUGCAAGUCGAACGGACCCUUCGGGGUUAGUGGCGGACGGGUGAGUAACACGUGGGAACGUGCCUUUAGGUUCGGAAUAGCUCCUGGAAACGGGUGGUAAUGCCGAAUGUGCCCUUCGGGGGAAAGAUUUAUCGCCUUUAGAGCGGCCCGCGUCUGAUUAGCUAGUUGGUGAGGUAAAGGCUCACCAAGGCGACGAUCAGUAGCUGGUCUGAGAGGAUGACCAGCCACAUUGGGACUGAGACACGGCCCAAACUCCUACGGGAGGCAGCAGUGGGGAAUCUUGCGCAAUGGGCGAAAGCCUGACGCAGCCAUGCCGCGUGGAUGAUGAAGGUCUUAGGAUUGUAAAAUCCUUUCACCGGUGAAGAUAAUGACUGUAGCCGGAGAAGAAGCCCCGGCUAACUUCGUGCCAGCAGCCGCAGUAAAAC
rnacentral:rRNA from 1 species